AGAGUUUGAUCAUGGCUCAGAUUGAACGCUGGCGGCAUGCUUUACACAUGCAAGUCGAGCGGCAGCGCGGGGGCAACCCUGGCGGCGAGCGGCGAACGGGUGAGGAAUACAUCGGAACGUGCCCGAGAGUGGGGGAUAACGCCGCGAAAGCGGCGCUAAUACCGCAUAUUCUCUGAGGAGGAAAGUGGGGGACCGCAAGGCCUCACGCUCACGGAGCGGCCGAUGUCGGAUUAGCUAGUUGGUGGGGUAAAGGCUUACCAAGGCGACGAUCCGUAGCUGGUCUGAGAGGAUGAUCAGCCACACUGGGACUGAGACACGGCCCAGACUCCUACGGGAGGCAGCAGUGGGGAAUUUUGGACAAUGGGGCAACCCUGAUCCAGCCAUGCCGCGUGCGGGAAGAAGGCCUUCGGGUUGUAAACCGCUUUUAACCGGGAAGAAAAGGCAUCUCUUAAUACGGGGUGUUCUUGACGGUACCGGUGGAAUAAGCACCGGCUAACUACGUG
rnacentral:rRNA from 1 species